rnacentral:rRNA from 1 species
UACGUAGGCAGCAAGCGUUGUUCGGAGUUACUGGGCGUAAAGGGUGUGUAGGCGGUUUUCUAAGUCUGGUGUGAAAUCUCCCGGCUCAACUGGGAGGGUGCGCCGAAAACUGGAAGGCUAGAGUGCGGGAUGGGAGAGUGGAAUUCCUGGUGUAGCGGUGAAAUGCGUAGAUAUCAGGAGGAACACCUGUGGUGUAGACGGCUCUCUGGACCGCAACUGACGCUGAGACGCGAAAGCGUGGGGAGCGAACAGG